AUGCAUCUGUUUGACAGACCUGGAGCAAACAGCUGUUGCUUUUCUGGUUCUUGCUGAAAUGCAACAGUAAGGGGUUCCUUGCGCUUUCUACCUGUCUGACCUCGGGGCAGUCUGAAUAAAGGAACACAAAA